rnacentral:rRNA from 1 species
AAGAAGGCCUUCUUGGUUGUAAAGCACUUUCAGCAGUGAAGAAGACCUAACGGUUAAUACCCGUUAGCGAUGACAUUAGCUGCAGAAUAAGCACCGGCUAACUCUGUGCCAGCAGCCGCGGUAAUACAGAGGGUGCAAGCGUUAAUCGGAAUUACUGGGCGUAAAGCGAGCGUAGGUGGCUUGAUAAGUCAGAUGUGAAAUCCCCGGGCUUAACCUGGGAACUGCAUCUGAUACUGUUAAACUAGAGUAGGUGAGAGGGAAGUAGAAUUCCAGGUGUAGCGGUGAAAUGCGUAGAGAUCUGGAGGAAUACCGAUGGCGAAGGCAGCCUUCCUGGCAUCAUACUGACACUGAGGCUCGAAAGCGUGGGUAGCAAACAGGAUUAGAUACCCUGGUAGUCCACGCCGUAUACGAUGUCUACUAGUCGUUGGGUCCCUUGAGGACUUACUGACGCAGCUAACGCAAUAAGUAGACCGCCUGGGGAGUACGGCCGCAAGGUUAAAACUCAAAUGAAUUGACGGGGGCCCGCACAAGCGGUGGAGCAUGUGGUUUAAUUCGAUGCAACGCGAAGAACCUUACCUGGUCUUGACAUACACAGAAUCUUGUAGAGAUACAAGAGUGCCUUCGGGAAUUGUGAUACAGGUGCUGCAUGGCUGUCGUCAGCUCGUGUCGUGAGAUGUUGGGUUAAGUCCCGCAACGAGCGCAACCCUUGUCCUUAUUUACCAGCGGGUUAAGCCGGGACUCUAAGGAUACUGCCAGUGACAAACUGGAGGAAGGCGGGGACGACGUCAAGUCAUCAUGGCCCUUACGACCAGGGCUACACACGUGCUACAAUGGUAGGUACAGAGGCAGCUACCAGCUGAUGUGUGCGAUCUCAAAGCCUAUCGUAUCCGAUGGAUCUGCACUCACUCCUGAAUAGGAUCGCUAGUAUCGCGAUCAAAUGCCGUGAUACUUCCCGGCCUGUCACCCGCCGUCCACAUGGAUUGAUGCACAGAAUGGUACCGACCUUUAGACGCAUCCACGUUUGGUGAGAUGGUGAC